rnacentral:rRNA from 1 species
AGUGAACGCUGGCGGUAGGCCUAACACAUGCAAGUCGAACGGCAGCACAGUAAGAGCUUGCUCUUACGGGUGGCGAGUGGCGGACGGGUGAGGAAUACAUCGGAAUCUACUUUUUCGUGGGGGUUAAGGUAGGGAAACUUACGCUAAUACCGCAACCGCCCUACGGGGGAAGGCAGGGGAUCUUCGGACCUUGCGGGAUUGAAUGAGCCGAUGUCGGAUUAGCUAGUUGGCGGGGUAAAGGCCCACCAAGGCGACGAUCCGUAGCUGGUCUGAGAGGAUGAUCAGCCACACUGGAACUGAGACACGGUCCAGACUCCUACGGGAGGCAGCAGUGGGGAAUAUUGGACAAUGGGCGCAAGCCUGAUCCAGCCAUACCGCGUGGGUGAAGAAGGCCUUCGGGUUGUAAAGCCCUUUUGUUGGGAAAGAAAAGCAGCAGGUUAAUACCCCGCUGUUCUGACGGUACCCAAAGAAUAAGCACCGGCUAACUUCGUG